rnacentral:sRNA from 1 species
GCUGAGCAUGGUGGUGCAUGCCUGUAAUCCCAGUAACUUGGGAGGCUGAAGCAGGAGGAUCACAAGUUCAAGGCAGCCUCAGCAACUUAGCGAGACCCUGUCUCAA